rnacentral:lncRNA from 1 species
CACAGUCAUGUGGGUAGAACUGAAGACAAAUCAGACAGUCUGUUGGUCAUAAUGGUAGCCACUGUGCUGGGGGCAAGGACACAAAAGACAGUCCCCCCAGAGCUUCUUGUUUGGCUUAAGAAGAAGACAGAGUCACCUGAACAUGCACGCUGGAUGCAGGUGACACCAUUUGAAUUGUCACAGGCUGAACAUCGUGGAGGAUGA